rnacentral:miRNA from 1 species
GUGAAGUGUUUGAGGAAACUC